rnacentral:rRNA from 1 species
UACGAAGGGGGCUAGCGUUGCUCGGAAUCACUGGGCGUAAAGCGCACGUAGGCGGAUUGCUAAGUCAGGGGUGAAAUCCUGGAGCUCAACUCCAGAACUGCCUUUGAUACUGGCGACCUUGAGUCCGGGAGAGGUGAGUGGAACUGCGAGUGUAGAGGUGAAAUUCGUAGAUAUCUGGAGGAACACCGGUGGCGAAGGCGGCAUCCUGGACCGACACUGACGCUGAGGAGCGAAAGCCAGGGGAGCAAACGGG